UCCCCACCCGGGAUCUGAACCGGCAAACCCCGGACUGCCAAAGCGGAACAUGCACACUUAACCACUGCGCCACGGCCGGCCCCCAGCAUCUGUAUUGUUAUUUCAGUGUUUGGGGCUAUGUGUUUCAUCUCCUGGCUUUUUCAUUCCUACAAGCUGGAGAGUAUGUCUUAUGUUCCUACAGAGCGGUGUGGGCAAGCACAGUCUUUGCAGCAGACAGAACGUGCAUUCAGGUCCUACCUGCUGCUAAGUGGCCUUGAGCGAGGAACCUAACUUCUCUAUGCCUCAUCGAUAAAUGAGGAUACUCACGCUUACUUGAGAGGUUCCUGGGAGGGUUAAAUAAAACCCUGUUUGCAAAGCACCCAGCUCUGUCUGGUGAGCAGUAGGGACUCCACAGAUGUCAGCUGUUAUUCUACUAUGACGAGUCUCCACAAUACUCAACAUGACACCAGGCAUUCCUUAAGUGCACAGUAAGGGCUCAGUGGCUCAAUGGGCUGGAUCUCUGUCUUCAGUUGCCUCAUGUGAGUUAUGCAGUAGGGCAUUUGUUUCCAUUUUUCUAUGAACUUGCCUCAUAUCUGCAGGACUGGAGAAGUACAAGGCUGAUCUUUCAUUUCCUCAGAGCCUGAGCUGGCAAAGAGACAGCAGGUCAAGUUCAGGGAUAAGUAGAGGAAUUGAUGCUGGGCCCUACUCAAGGGGUGAAGAGAACUUUUCUCACAAAAAUUUUCACUAUUCAUCCCACUCUUUUCCUCAUAGACAUCCCUGAAGCAGAGGCAGAAGACAGAUUCUAGAACACUCUUUGAUGAUCUCUCAGGUGCCAUGUGCCCUGCAGCAGUGAUUGAGGCUCUGUCAGAGAGUGGUGAGCUUCUCUGUGAUAUGUGGUCAUCAUGACACCUCCCUAUUGACCCUGUCCUGGGAUCCAGGUCCUGGACCAGCCAUGUUAUGUACCAAUGUCUCCUGUCAUCCGCAUGAUAACUCCAUUCUAUAGGUGAGGAAACUGAGGCUUGGCAAAGCUAAGUAACUUACUUAAGGUCACACAGCUGGUAAAUAGCAAAACCAAGAUGUCCACCCUGUUUGACCUGUCCCAGCCCACAUUCCUGCCACUGUGCCACUCCCCUUUGUAAUGGGGCAAGCAUUGGCCUGGAAUUCAAGAUUCCAGCUCUGAGCCAAGUGAUGGACUUUCCUGAUGGACCUCCGCUUUAUCACUUUGUAAAUGGAAGGAGGAAAGGCCACCCUCCCACUGCCCAGGUAAGAGUUUUUUUGUAGGGGGAUUGGUCAGGAAGAGACUAAAGAGUGAAAAUAACUUUUUUUAAAUUUGUAGCUAACCAGAUUCUCUCUUGCAGUAAUUUAUAUCCAUUUCCUCUAAUCCAGGCAACUCUGAAUAUGAGAAGAGCAGUCAGCCAUUUGAAGAGUGCUAUUUAACUCAUUACAGAGAACAAUCCUUUUGAAUCUAUGAGAAUUUUCUGGAAGUCACAUGUCAUUUUCACUUUCACCUAUUAAAACCGAAGCUUACAUUCAGCUUUUUUAAAAGCUUCCCUGUGCAGAGGCGGCCAGCAGCCAGCGGCACAGGCUGGGUCUCAGGCCUGUGCUGAAGGUCAACCCUCUCUGGAAUCAUAAACCAGCUCAGCAAGCUACAGUCUUGGGCUCAAACCUGAACUUACUUUGAAAGAAAGAAAGACCUGCAAAAAGGUCACAAUGAACCAAUAGAAAAUAUUCAAUGGCUCUCAUUAUCUUGACUCAAUGUAGGGUUGGGGGGCGAUGUAGCACAUCCUAAGAGCCCAGCGAAGAAUAAACUGAGCCGUGAGGAAAUGGAGUUCCUGGGCUGGAGUGGGGCCCAAGGCCUGGAUGAGAUCCCUUACCACAUCUGCUUCCCUCAUAAGGGAUCCUUAACUCCCAGGCUCUGCCAGGUGGAAGCCAAACCAGCCCUGGGCCAGGAGCCAGAGCAAGGACUUACCUGGAAGGGACAUCUGCUAAGCUCUUUGAAACAAAUGCAAAAGCUGCUAUUUUAAUGAUCAUAAAUUCCUAUAGCAGGUUCCCCCAGUACCCUGGCUACCAUAUUAGCAGAAUCAUUUUUCAAUUUACUGGGUACAGAGGAGACUCAGUGCCCACGGCCAAGCAGAGGGGGUGUGUGUGUAUGUGUGUGUGUGUGUGUGUAUGUGUGUAUGUGUGUGUGUAUGUGUAUACACGUCUGCAUUUUUCAGGAGUGAGGAUAUUUGCAUAACAGGUAUCUUUGCAGAUACCAGACAAACAGGAAGUUUCAGAACCUAUGCCAUUUCCUUUCACUGUGAAUCAGCAGCCUCUUUCUUCUCAUACAGAAAUGAUGAAAUCACAGGGUAUGGCCCCGGAAUGUGAAGACCAGGAGAAGAGCACAAAGCCUUCAUAGUCACCUUCUUUGGUGGGUGGCUUCCCUGGACACUCACCCAUAGCUGCCCUCCUUGGGCCAUCGCUCUCCACCUUCCCAGCUUCUUAGAGUGCUUCAAGAGAUGUUUGACACCAGCCCUAAACACAUUAGCAAACAGCCUCUAGUCACACAACACGUUACCUCAGUGCUGGUGAUGAGGCCCAGCCACAAGGCUAGGGGGAACCCCCACCUCCUAGUUCCUGGCCCCAGGUUUGCAUCACAGAGAGGCCCUGCCGAGUAAUGAGCACGCCCUGAUCUUGGCACCAGAAUACCUGGUUCAGACCCCUGCUCUAUCCAGAGAGACCUUGAGCAAGCUGCUUUCCCUCUGAGCCUUGGUUUCCCUGUUAGUUAAAUGGGCUGAUAAUGGCUCCCUGCAGAUCUGGGGCUAAUAAUGCAUGUGAAGGGUGGGGAAUUUAAAGCAGCAAUAAAAGCACAGGCUCUGGAGUCAGAUACCUGUGUUCAAAACCCAGCUCCAUUGUGUACUGGCUGUUGGACUUUGGGCAGAUUACCUGUUUUCCAAGUCUUAAUUUGACCAUCUGUAAAAUGGAGAUGAUAAGAAUAUCUACUUGCCAGUCUAUUGAGAGAGUUAAAUGAUACAUCUCUUAGCACUGAGCACAGCGUCUGGCUCAAAGAAAACUCAACAAUGUGAACCAGUUUUCCCACCGCCUCCUCCCUCCUUCCCCACCCAAAAUUGCAAGAUCCAUGAGGUAGGGACCACUGCUGAUCUUCAGCAGUGAGUGCCCAGCACCUGGUUUGGCCCUAAUAAGGCUUGAUAAAUCAGUUGAGUGAAUGAAUGGAUGUUCCUAGUUCAUAGCAGGUGCUGAAGAAAUAUAUCUAUAUAAAAUAAAUUUAUAUGAAAGCCACAGGCCAAAUCAUGCUGUCUCUGUUUUUGAAAUUUCUAAAAGGACGGCAGUAUAGAAUAAUGAUUACAAACAUCACAGGCUUAGCAGUCAGAUCUGGCAUGUCCUUUAACUUCUCUCAGCCUCUCUUUCCUGAUCUGUAAAAUGGGCACAAUUGGUAGCAACUCACCCAUGCUGGGUUGUUUCAGGGUUAAAUGAGAUAAUGCAUGCAAAGCACCUAACAUAGUACUCUGCACAUAAUAAGCAUGUGGAAGAAUGUAUCAGCUAAAUCCCAGUUUCAUGACCCUAGAAGAAGAUAAUACAAAGACUUGACUUUUUUCCCAAGAGGACAAGCCUUGGUACUGGCAUCCCUCAUGCCUCGUUGCUCUUGGUUCCCUCCUUCCCAACAGUAUCCCUCUCCCUCCUUAGGCCUAGUGGUCUGUUCUUGUUGAAGAACUGGAGCUUCUGAGGCCCAUCUCCCCCACCUCCUGCAGAGCCCACUCCCCGCUGACCUCACCCUACUGCACAGAAGUACAGGGAUGCAGGAGCCUUGUUUCUGCAAGGAAGACAGCACGCUCGCCCAGGCGUUUACUCUGAAGCAUGAGUGUUCAGCUCUGUCUUCAUGUCGUCUCUGCCACAGUAGUGCUCACUGGCCACUCCUCCAGGAGUAACUCCGGGACACAGUGGACACACAGGCUCAGCACCAAGGUCUAGAGUCGGACAGCCUGACUUUUCAUCCAGGCUCUGCUCAGACAAGCUGUUUGAUCUCAGCACUUUAAAGAGGAUCCAUUGAUUGUGACCUCCACUGUUUCUUUCAUUAUAAAUGAAUCAGCUGUCAUUCAUAUUAUCAGUCUCCUAGUCAUCCUUGUCAUCCGUGUGACAUCUGUGUGAAGAAAACAGAUGAUGAUUAUCUAUUUUGGAGAAAACCCCAGAUCUCAAGAACACACUUUGUACUAUGAAAUUUGAACCUUACACAAUGACAGGAACAAGAGCUAAGUUGAGGAGGUUCAAAGACACUUAAGUGGCCCUAUGGAGAGGCCCAGGAGGAGAGGGGCUGGACCUUGUCCCAGGAGCCAGCAUCAACUGAACUUCAAUUCAAGCAUCAGUUGAGUGAGCUUUCUUGGAAGUGGACCUUCCAGUCUGUCAAGCCUUCAGAUGACUGCAAUCCCAGCUGACAUCAUGACUGUAAUCUCUUAGGAUAUCUUGAACCAAAACCACCCGAUCAAACUAGUCUCAUAUUCCUGACCCACAGAAAUUGUGAGAGACAGUAAAUGUAAGUUUUGAGGUAACGUGUUACACAGCAAUAGAUACACAUUGAGACUCCUCCCUCCUGUGCCCAUGACAAACAGCACCAAUUGAUCAUGGAACUCUUGUCCCCUGAGCUGGACAUGGCUUUGCAACCCUCCACACAUUGCAUUAGGCAGCCACUACCAUAAGAGGUUAAACCCAUUUGCCAACACACGUCUAGGGGACCAACUAGAACUGUUGAACAUUCAAGCUAACACUUUAGAAAGUGUCAUUUUACUAUUGAUUGUAAAUGAAGACUCAUUUUAGCAACCCUUCCAUUGCAAUGUAGAUGCUGUUUACAUAUUAUUUACAACUGUGAACAGGUAAAAGUGUGGUCUAUGGAGAUUGAUCUUUUGUUUGAUUCUGGUCUGUUUCCUAUGGCCUUUUCAACUUAUUCUACAAAAAGCAGGUAUUACCCACCAGCUCAAGAUUUAGUCAAAGUGGAUUUUGUGUGUGUAACCCAGUUCUCCAGGCCACAGUAGUACAGAGGUAAAAACAAGGUCACUCUCAUAAGUAUAGCUGAGUGAUGUCAGCAAAAGGGAGGAGUACAUAGCUGCAAACUCUUGUUUCUCCACAGAAACACCAAAAAAACAAGCUGAAACUGUCAGAACCAACCUUGUCAGAACUCUAAAAAUUGCCAAAGGUUCACAGCAACCAAGUAAAUGCUGAAUCAAGAAAAAAGCAACUUGGAAAUAGUAAGAAAGUUUUGUGGCAUUUUUACUUUCCCUUACUUCACCUCCUCCCCAAUAUGAAGGCAGUUUUGAAGACAUAGCAGCCUAUAUUCCCAGUAUGGGACCCUGGUCCUGGGUUCCAGAAGGAGCAGAGCAGAUCUUGUUCACACAUUAUUGUGUGUGUCUGUCCUAACCUGUCUGGGUUACCUGAAGAUGCUUGUCUCAGUUUUGUCCAACUCAGACCUCAGGCCAGAAAAGCAGUCGGCAUUGCUCAGAAAUGUUGCUAGGUGAACUAACAACACACAGAAGUCUGGGGCAAAAGAUUAUGGUCCAGAUAUAUAAUAGAUUGGCUAAGGCCCAGGAGGAAAAGCUGGGUCAAAUCCUUUGGGAGAUUAGGACUUUAAAAGUACCUGGAUAUACAGGGGAAUUUAAAAAGCCAUGCGCAUGAUCAAGACAAGACUCAUGCUCACAAAAGACCUAAGAAGACACUAAGCUUUCAUCUUGUGCCAAUCCCUAGGCUCAGAGCAAGCCUGACUAAGUGUUGGAGUGCCCCAGCAGAGAGCUUAAUUUGUGAAGAUCAAGAGAGGUGUUUGCUUUUUGUGUUUUUCUUUUCCAAUUUUUUUGUUUUGUUUUGUUUUACAUUAACUUCUGGCAUUGAAGGACAUUUCUGUCAAACAUUAGCUAAACAUAAGCAAAUGGAACAGAGACUUCAGUGACCACACAUGACCAGGAAUAAUCUUUAUGAAGAUAUUUGGAAAGUCACUAAACAAUUAUAGCCUUCAACAAUCAGAAAAAACACAAUAACAAAAAACAGUAAAUCUUAGGGAAAGGGAAGAGAUUCUGACUUUCAGAUUUAUGACAUUAUAAUAUUCAUAUGUCCAGUUUUCAACCAAAAAAUCACAAGGCAUACAAAGACACAGGAAAGUUUGACUAAUUCAAAGGAACAAAUUAAAUGGACAGAAACUACCCCUGAGGAUGUGUAGCUAUCAGACUUACUAGACAAAGACUUUAAAACAACUGUCUUAAAAAUGCUCAAAGAAAUAAAGGAAAAUAUGGACAUAGAACUAAAGGAAAUCAGGAAAACAAUGUAUGAAAAAAAUGAGACUAUUGUAAAAAGGAACCAAACAGAUAUUCAGUAGCUGAAAAAUACAAUAACUGAAAUGAAAAAUUCACUACAAGUGUUCAACAUUAGAUUUGAGGAUGCAGAAGAAAGAGUCAGCAAACUUGAAGGUAAGACAGUUGAAAGUAUUCAGUCUGAGGAGCAGAAAGAAAAAAAAUGAAAAGUGAACAGAGCCUAAGGGAAUUGUGGGAUACCAUAAAGUGAACCAACAUGUGCUUUAUGGGAGUCUCAGAAGGAGAAUUGAGAGAGAAAGGAGCAGAAAGAAUAUUUAUAGAUUAAUGAUGAAAAACUUCCCGAAUCUGAUUAAAGGUAUAAAUCUACAUACCUAAGAGAAAAAGAGAGAAUCCUGAAAGUAGCAGGAGAGAAGUGACUCAUCAUAUACAAGGGAUCCUGAAUAAGAUUAAUAGUUGAUUUCUCAUCAGAAAACAUGGAGGCCAGAAGGCAGUGAGAUGAUGUAUUUAAAUUGUUGAAAGAAAAAAAAAACUGUCAACUGAGAAUUCUAUAUUACUGAUGCCCUUCAACAUUGUACUAGAAGUUCUAGCUAGAGUUACUAGGCAAAAAAAGAAAUAAAAGUCGUCCAAAUUGGAAAG